GGAAAUUCGGGUCCUUUCCCUGUAACAGUUUCCAACUAUUCUCCAUGGAGUCUCACAGUUGCUGCCAGCACCAUUGACAGAAAAUUUGUUGCCAGAAUGGAACUUGGAAAUGGCCAAAUCUUCACUGUAAGUCAUACACAAAUUAAAUCAUUCCUAAAAAAUUGAAUGAUCUUCUCAAUCUAACAAAUUGAACUCCAAUAAAUGAAGGGAAUCAACAUCAAUGCCUUUGAGCUCAAUGGGACUUCGUACCCAUUAAUAUGGGGAGGAGAAGCUGCGAACUACACUGCCGGUGCCAAUCCAGAAAUCGCUGGUUAUUGCCUAAAUGGAGCCAUGAACGCCGAGAUAGUGUCCGGUAAAAUUGUUUACUGUGACACAAUCUGGGAUGGUUCUG
rnacentral:lncRNA from 1 species